rnacentral:lncRNA from 1 species
CCAGAGGGUGAUGAGGGAACAAAAAUGGUAUGUUUGUAUGUAACCCUUAUUUCAGAGGCUCUUUCCUAAUAUGAAGAACCUGGGUGUUCAUCUUGAAGACCUCUCAUUUAUCCAGAUCAUUAUUGUCACACAAAUGGAACCUAGGGAUUUCAAGUAAACAAACAACAACAACAACAACAACAACAAAAGUUUAAGUUUAUGGACUAGGGACUAUGAUUUUAAAAAAACAAAGUACAAUUCUAGAUGAGAAGGAGAGGAAGGAAAGAGAAUAAACAUUCAUAUAGACCCUAUGAUGGGUCAAGCACUGUGCUAAGUGAAUUUUACAAACAUCUCAUUUGACACAUCAACUCGGCAAGGUAGGUGCUGUUAUCCUAUGUAACAUUUGAAGAAACUGAGGCAGAGUUUUUAAGUGACUUGCCUAAGGUCACAAAGGUAGUAAAUGUCUGAGGUCAAAUUUAAAAGUCGUCUUUAAUUCUCUAGAACUAGCACUCUUUCCUGUUUUGUCACCAGUUGCCUCUGUAAAGGAUCUAUGAUAUAUACAGAUAAGGAAACAUAAUUUGAGGAUAGAGCAUUAACAAUUGGGAUCAAGAAGGGAUACAAUGGCUUCAUGGAUGACGUGACAUCUGAGCUGAGCCUUAAAGUAUUAAGAGCCAGAGUUGAGGACGAGGUGCAUUACGGAAAUCAAUUAACAAACAUUUCUUAAGCAGUGAAAGAACUUGUACUAAGCCCUAUGAUUCAAAUAGAGCUAAAAAGACACUCUGUGUCUUCCAGAGAGCUCACAAUUUAAUGACAAAGACAGUGAGGGGCAGAUUGUGGGAAUGUAUGAAGACAGGAGAUCUACUAUCCAUUAGAAAUGCUAAUAUGGGUGAAAGGGAGCGAGGCAAUAAGACAGGGAGAUAUCAUGGAGCUUGUCAAGUUCCGUAUGGUUUAAGGCUUACAUGGCUCCUGCUUCACAGAGAGAUGAGUGCCAAGGGGUAGAGGGAUGCAGGACAAGGACAGACAGUGCAAUCCAUUUUCUGACCUCCAUUCUUUUAUUCUCACUACUAACUAGACUUUAUAAGAUUAG